CCUACGGGAGGCAGCAGUGGGGGAUAUUGCACAAUGGGCGAGAGCCUGAACCAGCCAAGUAGCGUGAAGGAUGACUGCCCUAUGGGUUGUAAACUUCUUUUAUAUGGGAAUAAAAUGUUCCACGUGUGGGAUUUUGUAUGUACCAUAUGAAUAAGGAUCGGCUAACUCCGUGCCAGCAGCCGCGGUAAUACGGAGGAUCCGAGCGUUAGCCGGAUUUAUUGGGUUUAAGGGGAGCGUAGGUGGAUUGUUAAGUCAGUUGUGAAAGGUUGGGGCUCAACCGUGACAUUGCAGUUGAAACUGGCAGGCUUGAGUACAGGAGAGGUGGGCGGAAUUCGUGGUGUAGCGGUGAAAUGCUUAGAUAUCACGAAGAACUCCGAUUGCGAAGGCAGCUCACUGGACUGCAACUGACACUGAGGCUCGAAAGCGUGGGUAUCAAACAGGAUUAGAUACCCUAGUAGUC
rnacentral:rRNA from 1 species